rnacentral:rRNA from 1 species
CUCCUACGGGAGGCAGCAGUGGGGAAUAUUGCACAAUGGGCGAAAGCCUGAUGCAGCCAUGCCGCGUGUAUGAAGAAGGCCUUCGGGUUGUAAAGUACUUUCAGUUGUGAGGAAGGGGGUAACGUUAAUAGCGUUAUCUCUUGACGUUAGCAACAGAAGAAGCACCGGCUAACUCCGUGCCAGCAGCCGCGGUAAUA